UACGUAGGGUCCGAGCGUUGUCCGGAAUUAUUGGGCGUAAAGGGCUCGUAGGCGGUCCGUCACGUCGGGAGUGAAAACUCAAGGCUCAACCUUGAGCGUGCUUCCGAUACGGGCGGACUAGAGGUAUGCAGGGGAGAACGGAAUUCCUGGUGUAGCGGUGGAAUGCGCAGAUAUCAGGAGGAACACCGGUGGCGAAGGCGGUUCUCUGGGCAUUACCUGACGCUGAGGAGCGAAAGCAUGGGGAGCGAACAGGAUUAGAAACCCCCGUAGUCC
rnacentral:rRNA from 1 species